rnacentral:lncRNA from 1 species
AUAUUAAUGAAUGUCAGCAAUACGAGAAACUGUUAAAUGUAUGAACAUUGUUAGCAGCUAUAGAUUCAUGAUGACAUGUAUGGCCCAGAGCAUGCUAGGAACAUGAGAUCAUGUUAGAUAAUGGUUAAUGGCAUAAUGAGAAAUGUGUUAUAAGUUAAUAUUAUGUGAAUGUAUCCCUAGUUGGUAAUUGCAUAUUAAAUUGUAUGUUAGAGAAUCAUGUAGAGGUGCAUCGCGCAUAUUAAUACGUUAUGAAAAGAUGCAAUUGCUAAAGUACAUUGAUGUAUUGAUAGAACCUCGAUAUGGACCAAUUAAGUAAUCCAAUAAGAUCGAGUGGCACUGAACCUAGCGUCGUGAACUUAGGUUGCAUAAGAAUGAAAGGACUAGUGUUAUGGAACAUGAGGUCGAACAGGAAUGAUCAUAUGAACCUAGUGUUUUAAACAUAAGGUCGGAUAAAUGAACCUAGUGUCGUGAAACCUAAAGGUUGACUAAGUGUAACCCCCGCGGAUCUCGGUAGAAUAUUGAGGACUUUAAGCAAAAUCGACUAAAAUGUACUCCCAAGAGAAAUGUUGGAACGAAGUCCGUAUUUAACAUUCCAACAGUGUUGGAAAGGGUCAAAGUGAGUUUCCAAUGAGGUUCAAAAGGUUCAGAGCAAUUGCUUCGGCGUGAUUGGGGUCGCGAAAAUAAUGCGAGAUGAGGUUCGGGAGCAUUCGGGGCGGUUUUCGGUGCCGCGUAGCGUGAAACGGGACCCGAAAAGGGCUAUGUUGGACCAUGACUAAUAUCGGAUAGCGUUGGAUAAAAGAUGAUGAGAUCGUCUCGAAAACAUGUUAUAGAGCCUCGGUUCGAAUUGAGAUGAAUCGGAGGUCAAACGAACGAAAAACGAGCGAAAACGAGAAAAAGCUGAAUAAAAUUGGCUAAAGUCCUGAAAAAGUGCUCGUGUUACCGGUGAACACCCCGUGUGUAGCGCGUACGUUUCAGUUGUAAAUCCGAGAAGAGAGCUCUCGGUUGGCUUGCUUACGCAGGUCGUGUAUCGUGACACCUAGCCCCGGUACCGUAUCAGUGGACCCGACAGCAAAAAUGAGUCUGCUGGCAGAAUAUGAGUUGUGGGAGGUUUUAUUUGCAAAAUGUACCAAUAUGUUAAUACCCCAAACCCCUCUCCCAUUGCAGGUGCAGCGCUCUCUCUCGCCUUUCUCAAUCCGUAGCAUAGGGCAAAAGAGAGAAGAAGAAAAAAGAGAAGGAUAAAGAGAAGGAGAAAGUGAAAAGAAGAAAAGUAAAGAAGGAGAAGAUGGAGGAGAGGAAGAGGAUGCAUCAACCAAUCAUCAUCCUCUGCAUGCUUCUUCUCUCCCUGGACUCUAGGAGCAGGUAAAGCUUCCAAGCCUGCUCAUGGUAGAUUUUGUAGAAUGAGGUUUUGAAAUCCUAGAUCUUUGAUUUGAUCUCCCUACAAGCUUUAGAACUUCGUAGAGGCCAAAGAGAACACAUAGAAAUUGCAUGCGUGUUGCCUUCAUGAUCUCUAAUGGUGGUAUCCCUAGGGUUGUUUCCUAAUACCCUAGGAUUGAUUCUAAUGAGAUAGAAACAAAGUUUAGAGAAGCUUCUUGGUGAUCUAAGCUCGCAUUAUGCUUAGGUUAGUGAGAUCAAUCGCUAAGAGAUUUUGACUUGAUUGCAUUGUUCUGCGCACCGAAAUUGGGCGCUUUUUGGCCUGCGCUGGGUGUUUUUAAGGCAAAUUGACCUGAAACUAAUUGGGACCUACGGAACGCGUUGGUGCGCUCGGUUCGGCAAUCCGACGAGCGACCGAAGUUUAUUGACGAAAACGAAUCGUUUUGGACAGAUAGCUGCAGGCAACAGCGGAAUAAAGGUCUAAAAAUGCAUUGAGAUCGGAACGCGGAGCAACCUUGGAGUCAAGGAAAUAACUUCCGGAAAAGACGGAUCGCGAUUUGGAGGUCGUUCGCUAAUCGCGCAAAGAGUGCGAGCCAAAACCGGGCAACGGGUUGCCGCGGGAGGCCCGAUUGCAAGUGUCUGAACGAAGCAAUGGGAACGCAGUUUAAGGUGGGUUGUUUUACCGCAAGGGCGACUAGGUCGCCUUUAUGUCUAAUUUUUAAUUUCGUGUUGAAUGAUGUUGAUUGUUUUGGCAUAGUUGAAUAGCUAAGUAGCAAUGCAUAAUAUGAUGUAAGACACUAAAAUUGAUGCAUGAUAAUGUAAAUGAAGCAUGUAAAAAUGAUGCAUUGUAAGCUAAAUAAUGCCAAUGGUGAAUGUGUGAUGUAAUUGCUAAAUAGAAUGCAUUAUGAGGCCAUUGUUGAAUAAAGCUAGAUAAUUAUGUGAUAUGCAUGUAACCAAUUAACUGGCAUAAAUGAAAUGCAAUUGAUGGUAUAAGUUAAAAUAGAUAAUAGAAUGCAUGUUGAGCUAUUGUGAGAUAAAUGUGGCAUGAAACUCGGUUGAAUAACCCUAAGAAUGAUGCUAUGCUAAAGUAUAAGUGAUUAGGCUGAUAUGAAAAUAGUACAUACAAGUACAUGGUAAGAAUUCUGGGGGGGUAAGGAAGGACAAGUGUAGUGGAAUGAAUAAAUAAUAUAGAUCGAGUGGCAUUUUAACCUAGAGUCUUGAAAAGUUAAAUGAGAGUGAUGUUAAACCUAAUGUAAAGAACAUAGUUGUGAAAUGAAAGCUGCUAACUAGGAUAAAUGAACCUAUGUUGGGAAAAGAGUAAAUGAUCCUAUGUGUAAUUAACCUAGGUAGAAUGCUGUGAAAGCAAUAAACCAAAAAAAAAAAAAAAAAAAAAAAUAAAGUAAUAACUUAGGUUGUAUAAAGGAUGUUGACCUAGAGUCAAUUGACGCUAGGAGAUAAAGGCUUAGAGCCUAGAGAAGGUCAGUUCAUAGGGUUAAGCCAACCUUGGUUAAUGUGAUAUGGAUUCGAUUAAUAUAAUCUCAGGCAGUUUCACCAAGCAGGCUCUAGAUGAUCAGUUAAGCAACACAUAACAAGACAGUUAAUUUUAUUGACAAGAAGUAUGACCGAUAGAAAGCAUAUAUUACUCUAACAAAUUACAAAAAUUUAUAAGUUGAUAGCCAAUAUUCAAGUUAACCUAUAUAUCCUCCACGGCCGCCAUUCACGAGCCCAUAGAACCCGAGAAACUGAGAGGACGCGAGACAGAGAACAGAGCACCGCACACACUGCCGGCGAGAACGACCUCAAUGGUGCUCGUCCACAUUCCAUUGCCCCCGUCUCCGCAAAUCCAAACCCUCAAUCGCAUCAGGAAACUCACCAAACCUACAACAAAAACCAAUACUCCCCAAGUAUAGUAAAAAAAAAAAAAUCGCAAUUUUACCCUAACAGAACAGUAGCCAAAUUAAUCCUUUCCCCGAAAGCUUAAAUCAAGACAUUUCGCAAAAGUCCACACAAUCUGAAGGUCAUUCUAAAAGAAUUAAACCGAGAAACAGCAAAAAUCCCAAUUUUUUACGCCUAGAAAACAGUGGCCCAAAAACUAUCCUUUCAAGCACAAAUCACUAAACUCCGCGAACAAUCCUCAGACACGGCUGCGUUAUCAAAGAACACAAAAGUUAACAAAACAAAAAUGCCAAUUUUUACUCUAAAAACAGAAGCAAACUUAAUCCUCAGAGCUCAAAUCAACAAAUUCCCAACAAGUCACACAAAUGCAACCGGUUUCAUUCCCAAAACAUUUUACACCAACAAGGCCCUAAAGCACUACAAAGGCGCGACUUGAGGCCCACCCGCCCCCCCCAUGGGUAAGAUCUCGGAGACGGAGCUCAGCACCUCGAUGAGGCGGCGAAACCCUAAGGACGGCUUAGAGAAAGAGGUAGGGUAGGUGGAAGAGGAUUGAAACGUAGCCUCGAAGCUCUUAAGCAUAGGAAAGGGAUGGGAGGUGGUCCUCCUCUCCGAACUUUUGCAAUAACCCUAGAUAAUGGGGGAGAGGAGAGAGAGAGAGAGAAAGAGAGAGAGGGGAGAGGAGUCGAGUGUGGAGUAGAGAGAGAGAGAGAGAGAGAGAGAGAGGGUGAGUGACAUUUGUCCAAAGUAUAAUUGUGCGGAGUAAAUAAAUAAAAUAAUAAAUAUAAAAAAUAAAUAAUAAUAACAAUAAUAAUUAAAAACGUGAAAAAUAAAAUGAAGAAUUAGAGGGGCUAGCUGAAAUUGCGUUUGAAAAAAGAGUUUUGUUUUUUUUGGGCUAAAAAACAGAAUUUUCCAAUCAUUUUAUGUUUACAAAAAUGCUUUUAUGAAAAAAAAAUCAAUUUUCAUAAAAAAGAAAAGGUUUUUUUGGCAUUGCAUAAAAAUUCCACAAAUUUGAGCUUUGCAAAACGAGCACAUUUUCAAUUUUGUAGAUUGGGUCGAAUUUUUCGUCAUCGGACAAAAUCCUUUAUUCCCUUUCUUUCUCUCAUCUUCUUUUUUGUUCUCUUUCGUGCGUACGCCUCUCCCGCCUCAACCCUUCCCACCCGCUCCAGCCUUCAACCCUCCGCGUACGCCUCUCCGCCUCCGGCCCCUGCCGCCUUCCCACCCGCUGAUUCGUCUGAACCUCUCCGAUAUGCUCCGCCGCCUCGGCCUCGUAGACCUCUACUCCACGCUCCGCCUUAUCCCUCCGUCCCACCGCUCCGCCUCAACACCCUCGCCAAUACGCCUCUCUGCCUCGACUCUCGUAGGCUUGGUGGGGUCCUAGACCGAUCUCGCCCUGGAGCCCGACGAUGUCGCGACUGCAUCUGGCGAGGUCGCGGAUGGAGAUUCGCCGGCGCCACUGCCCGACGUUGACCGUGGUCAAGAGUUGGAGUAGCGGUCCAUGAGAAGAUGAGGGGCGUCAGCGAGUCGUCGACGUGGAGCGAACUCCGGAGCCGGGCGCCGGAGCCCCAGACGACGAUUUUUCUCUACGGCUAUGGCACCUGAGCCCUAGCAGGGCACCUAUCUUUAUUAUUUAGGCACCUAAUCGUAAUGGUGUAAAAAAGAAAAAGGAAGAGAAGAGGAGGAUAUGGAUAAAUGAUCAAUUUUGGGCGAAAAUGGUGUAAAAUUGGACAAAAUUUGCACAUUUCUCCUCCUCCUCCCCUUCUCUUUUUCUUCCCUCGGCUCCGCGUGCAGGCGGCGCACCUGGGCCGUGGUGGCGGAUUACGGAGCUAGCUCUGCGAGCAAGGGGGGCGCGUGCGGGGCGUUUGGAUGGCCCUACACGGUGGUGCCGAGAACGACAACCGUGGGCCGGCUGUGGGCUUCUCAGAUGUCGGCUUCAUACUCAACUUCCUACCAUCGGAUCCGCAUCUGUGCGCCCUCGUUAAAGUCUAGCGCAACUGCUCACCNNNNNNNNNNNNNNNNNNNNNNNNNUAUGCAUGCAUUCUACUCAUAUAGCUCUACUAUAUAGUGAAAUUUUCAUAAUACACAAGGCAUGCAUUUUAAGUGCUCUAAAAUUCAUAUAAAUUUUAUUUAGCAUAGAAAUAAAUUUAAAAAUAUUUUACAACAAUUAGAAAGAGCAUAGGGGUCAUUUCGCCCCAUUUCCAUGAAGCCAAACCCACCGUCGUCAACGAAGGCUUUCGUUUGCCACGAGGAAGGCGUCCACCACACUCCUAGUACCCUAAAGGUAUGAAAGCAAGUGUCAUCUAGUCGAAACGAACGACGCUAAGUUCAAUCUUUAACUAUAUAGGGCUAGGGUUGAAGAAAACUCACCGAUUGCGAAGGAAGCUCUCUCGAUCUCCAAAUGGGAGCUAGAGUCCUUCCAAUCUAACCUAAACAAAGAUUCUAAACCCAUCAAUUAGGUUCCAAAGCCCUCAAAUCAAAAAUCCCCAAAACUAACCCUAGAAUCCCAAUCUAGGGUUUCAUCUAGUAAAACCUAGAAAAACAUGUAUUAAAUGGGGAUUACAAGCUACCAACCUCAAGAGAAGCUUCAAUCCAAGCUCAAAGCUAAGUAGGGUUGAAGUUGUAUCCUCCACAAAGCUUCAACCGCAAGCUCGAAGCCACCAAGGUGAGAAAAUGGGGAAGAUGAUGAUGCUCAAAGCCUCCAAGCAAGCUCCUUCUCCUCUUCUUCUUCUUCUUCUUCUCCCUCUCUUCUUCUCUCUCUAGAAUAGGUGGGAAGGGAAGGAAUGAGGAGUGAAGAGAGUGAAAUGGCUAUAUAGACCAUCUAAAGCAACAAAAUCCACUUAGGCCCCUCAAAAACUCAAAAUUACAUCAGCCCGGUCUGGGCAGUUUUCGCCCAGAGGGACUGGUCUCCCCGACUUGGGACCGGUCUCUCAGCCUGCCCCGAAAACCCAACGUUCGGGAAUCGGUCUCUCCCUGCGCGGGACCGGUCUCUCUCCGCGCAGACGCGCUCGGGGACCGGUCUCGACUGCCAGGGACCGGUUGCCUCGCCGGCUGCGCAGCACUGCUCACUGGGGGACCGGUCUCUCCUAUCUGGGACCGGUCCCCAAGAGUAAAACUCUCAGGACUCAGCCAAAACUCUAGAAAUCGAUCUUUUAGGCCGGUAUAUCAUCGACGGCCCUCCACCGAGUGUGGAAAAGUUCGGAACACAGAUCGAACACUUGAACCUCGCAAUUUGCAAAAGUCCAGUGUGCUACAAAAAUGGGCGAGUUAUUGCUUAUGCAUCGCGCCAAUUGAAGAGUUAUGAGAAGAACUACCCGAUUCACGACCUUGAGUUAGCCGCAGUGAUCUUCGCGCUAAAGCUUUGGAGGCAUUACCUAUAUGGUGAACAUUGUGAGAUAUACACAGAUCACAAGAGCCUCAAGUACUUGUUCACCGAGAAGAAAUUGAAUAUGCGGCAACGGCGGUGGUUAGAGUUGCUAAAGGACUACGAUGUCACUAUACUAUACCACCCUGGGAAAGCCAAUGUCGUGGCCGAUGCUCUAAGUAGAAAAUCGGCGAAGAACUUACCGAUGGCAAUUACGCCUCAACUGCUAUUGCGAAAGGAGAUGCAAAGGCUUGGGUUGGAAGUGGUAGCGCCGGGAGUGCCGGCUACCCUUGCCGCAUUAGUCGUGCAACCGACCCUAUUCGAGAGGAUUAAAGAGUUACAAGCUUCGGAUCCUUAUCUCCAAAAGGUUCGAGGUGAAGUUGAAGGCGGUAGCGCCGAAGACUUUGGCGUUUGGACCGAUGGCGCAGUUCAAUUUCGAAAUCGUUGGUGCGUGCCUAAAGACGAUGAGUUACGAAGGGCGAUUAUGCAAGAGGCACACCAAUCCCCUUAUAGCAUACACCCCGGCGGCACUAAGAUGUACCAAGAUUUGAAAGAGCACUAUUGGUGGCCGGGCAUGAAGAAAGAUAUUGGGGAAUUCAUGGCGCAAUGUCUAACGUGCCAACAGGUGAAAGCGGAGCGCCGAUUUUCGGCGGGAAAGCUACAAAGUCUAUCAAUUCCCGUUUGAAAAUGGGAAGAUAUAGUGAUGGACUUUAUUACCGGUUUGCCUCGAUCACAAGGCGGCCACGAUGCGAUAUGGGUGAUAGUGGAUCGAUUGACAAAGUCGGCACACUUCUUGCCGAUACAUACUACGUGGUCGGGAGACAAGUGUCACACCCCGCCCCGAGACCGCUACAGUUUGGCACGGUUCGGGCGCGCCGAGCGGACCGCCGAACGGACAGCACCUCCCCUGUCCGCCCAAGGCUAAAGCGACGAGAUUGUGUACAUCAAGUUCCCAGGAAAACACUUGAAUAUAAAGAAACAAUCAUACAACAACUGGCGAGAGCACAAACAGUGCAGAACAAUACGAGAGCAAGCAUCACAAGUAGAAUCAUACAAGUGAAUAAAAGAGAGAUACUACUAUCUAUUACAUCACAUUUGACAUUUACAUCCAUUCAACCUUUUAUACAACUUGAUUACAUUUAUNAAGCUUCCAAAAUGAAUACAUAAUCAUCUCACAUGUAUAUAAUGCUAGCUAUCCAAAAUACAUCAUGUCAUCUAUAACCAUGCACACGAGGGUGCUCUAGUACAAUAGGAAAGCUCUACUAGCUAGCUAGGGCGCUAUGCCCUUACCGCGAUCACCUGCCGGUCCGCUCACGUGUGUACCUGUACCCCAAAACCACACGGGGUGAGAACUAUAAAAAUAUAGUUCCCAGUGGGUUCGGCCGCCGACUCCGCCGAUCUUCCCACUAGGUCUAAGCUGGCACAGAUAGAUAGAUAGAGAGAUAAAUAGAUAUUGAACUGCAACUAUGAUCUAUUGUGCCAUCAAAUGCAAGGAAUGCAUGCAAUAUCAUUUAUCAUGCUAGUAUGCUUUAACAAUGUAAUGAAUACCAAUACAACAUAGUUAUGUAAACCUCUAACAUAUGCUAUGUCUAAUCAUGGUAUGAAUGCAAAUCUGCUUAUGCAAUUCAUGUCAUUACCCAACCCACUAGGCUACCCCACCUAAGGUCUCAACCACAUAGGUGAAGGACUACCCCGCCCUUGUCUCACCCGUCUCACAACUCUAAUGCUACGGUAAAGAGCUACCCUACUCUUACCCGACUCGUAUCUCGAAUGCUAUAAGCUAAAAGAGCUACCCCGCUCGUUGCCCGACUCAGAUCUCAUGUCCUAUAGGUGAAGAGCUACCCCGCUCCUCGCCUAACUAAUACUCAAAUGCCUAAGGGCAAGAGCUACCCCGCUCUUCGCCCCGACUCUAACUCAAACUCAUAGGUCAAGAGCUACCCCGCUCGUAGGUAAAGAGCUACCCCGCUCGUAGGUAAAGAGCUACCCCGCUCAAAGGUCAAGAGCUACCCCGCUCGUAGGUAAAGAGCUACCCCGCUCAUAGGUAAAGAGCUACCCCGCUCAAAUCUCACCGGUGAAGGGCUACCCCGCCCUUCGCCCGAUUCACUUCCCAGUCCAAUGGGUGGGGAGCUACCCUGCUCGUAUCCCACCCGAUGAGCUACCCCGCUCGUGAGCUACCCAGCUCGUGUGACAACUCCGGAGUGCACUGCUUAUGGGGAGCGACCGCCACAAGCCCAAAACAGACUAUGUGAGUAUGAUCCAAUCCUCGCCAACUGAGGAUACCCUGUCAACUAGGUUAACAAUCACUUGAUAAUCCACCUAUCCCUAGGUCCAUGUCAAGUGUCUCAACCACACUAAAUCUCGAUGCCACUCACCUAGGUCUAAUCAACUCUAGGUUCCACAACACUAGGUUUAAUGUCAACCUAUGUUUAACAACAUUAUAUUAAUGCCACUCGAUCUAUCCUAGGUUCACGACACUAGGUUUAGAUGCCACAUAAUCUCCAUAAUUAACAAUAGGUUAACAUUCAUUUCAUCUAGCAUAUAUGUUCUAUAAAGCCAACAUGCAUCAUAAUGCUAAUAUGCCAUUAUCAACUAGCAUGCAAUCCAUUCUUAAUGCUACAUGCAUACAAUCUCCAUUACACUAGUACACAUGUCACUAGUUUCAUUAUCGAGUCCAAGUUCUUUAUUUUCUUUUCAUUAUAGGAUCUCAUGUCUAAACCUUAGUCCUCAUGCAUUCUAUAUUUAGGUGUCAAGUCCAUAAUACUACACAACUAGACAUGCAUUCAAGGAAAGUAGAAAUAUAAUAAUACAUACAUCCUAUAAUGCAUAAGAAACAUAUGUGCAAUAUGACCAAAGAUCUAACUCGGACAUAGAAGGAAGCCCGAUUGCUUCGGAUAGACACCCCCCACCUUUUUUAUAGCGUUCCGAUUGCUCGUCGUCACUCGCAAUCGGCCUCCCGCGGCGCACGCCGCUCGGCUCGACCCUAUUCGCGCGCGACCAUCGAAUGACCUCCGCUUUGCGAUCCGAGGAUUAUAGGUCUUCGGUUUCCUGUUACGAUGCUCGGGAUCCAAUCCCACGAUUUAUGGAAGCUGCCUCGGCUCCCGGGUCAACCCUGAACUACGGAACCUUGUUUCAGCCGGAACGUCGCACCUGCUCGACGAAUCGACGAACCGUCGCUUCCUACGCGUUCGGAGACAUAACAAUUAAGUUUCUGACUACUCAAUUUAGAUCAAACCCAACUAUUUCCAAGAACCCCAUUUUUAACCCUAGGUUUGAUGCUAGGCAAAAAUCCACCAUUUGGACCCUAGCUUUAAGCAAUAAACAUCUAAUUAGCAUCUAAGAAUGCUACUAAAUCCAUUUCUAGAGCAUUUAAAUCACACCCUAGAGAUCUACCAUUAAAGCCCUCAUUUGGAGCCUUAUUUUGCAACUAGGCAAUAAACCACCAUUAGAGCUUAGGAUUCAAGCUCUAAUCAUCUAUUUAGUAUGCUAGGGUUCCUCUAAAUCCAUUUAUAGGGAUUAAAAUCCAAGCUUUAAAGAGAUGCCAUUAAAGCCUCACAAGCUUACCUCCAAAGCUUGCCCUCAAAGUGGAGAAGAUGAUGAUGAUGAUGGUGAAUCCUCUCUUGGCCUCAAUCUCCACCAACUUCCCCUCCUUCUUCACUUCCUAGAGAGAGAGAGAGAGAGUUUGAGGUGUUCUUUUAGGUUAGAAUGGUGUGAGGGAGAGAGGGAAAUGAGUUAGCACCUUUGUAUACACUCUCAUGGUGUUACAAGUGCAAACAGCCCCCUCAACAUUCAUUUUAAUACACAGCCCCCGCGGGGCCAAUUUUUUGUAUAGGGGACCGGUCCCUGGCAGUGAGAGACCGGUCCCCGAAGGUCCAGAAUUCCAGCAUUUUUAGGACUUAGCCAAAUUUCAGCCUUUUUCAUUUUCGGGGUCCGUUUUCGCUCGUUUUCGCUCGUUUGACCUCCGAUUCGUUUCAAAUCGAACCGAGACUCUCCAAACAUGUUUUCAAACAUGUUUUCAUCAUCUUUUCAUCCACGCUAUCGCCGGAUUUAGCUCACGGCCCAACUUAGCCUUUCGGGUUCCGUUUAGCGCCUACGCGCACCAAAACGCCCGAAUGCUUCCAAACCUCACCGAACCUCACCAAAACCUUUCGAAUGGAUUUCCAACCAAUUGAACACCAUAACUUCAUGAUUUUAGAAGUCCGGUACCUUACAACAAGCUAGCUCAAGUUUAUCUCGACGAGGUUGUGAGACUUCAUGGGGUUCCGGUAUCAAUUGUGUCGGAUCGAGACCCCAGGUUCAUAUCCCACUUUUGGAAGAGCUUGCAAGACGCGCUAGGCACACGGUUCGACUUUAGCACAGCAUUUCAUCCUCACAGUGAUGGACAGUCGGAGCGGAUAAUACAGAUCCUUAAGGAUUUACUUCGGGCAUGUGUACUAGAUUACAAGGGAGGAUGGCAUGAUUUCUUGCCGAUGGCGGAGUUCGCAUAUAAUAACAGUUAUCAAGAGAGUAUAGCGAUGGCGCCAUUUGAGGCACUAUAUGGUCGGAAGUGUCAUUCUCCUAUUCAUUGGAGCGACGUGGGCGAGAGAACGGCUCUUGGCCCGGAUGUGGUACGGGAGGCGGAAGAAAAGGUUCGUCUUGCCCGUCAACAGUUAGUGACGGCGCAAUCUCGGCAAAAGAGCUAUGCCGACAAGCGAAGGAAAGACUUAGAGUUCGCGGUUGGAGACUGUGUAUUUUUUAGAGUGUCGCCGAUGCGUGGAGUAAAGCGGUUUGGGGUCCGCGGGAAGCUAAGCCCCCGUUAUGUUGGACCAUUUGAGAUACUAGAGCGUGUGGGUGCGGUGGCGUACAAGCUCGCACUACCACCGAGACUCGCGGGAGUUCACAACGUGUUUCAUGUGUCAAAUCUCCGAAAGUAUGUUCACAAUUCGACACAUGUAUUGGAGUACGAGCCCGUGGAGUUACGUGAGGAUAUGUCUUAGGAGGAGUACCCGGUGUGCAUCCUCGAUCGAGAAAAAAGGAAGUUACGGAGUCGCAAAAUUCUAUAUGUGAAGGUCCAAUGGAGCAACCAUGCGGUGCGAGAAGCCACUUGGGAGCUCGAGGAGACCAUACGGAGAGAGUAUCCGCAUCUAUUUGAGUCGACGAGUUAAGGUAUGCGUAAUUUCGCGGACGAAAUUAUUUUAAGAGGUGGAGAAUGUAAUAUACCGAAAAUUCGGAAAAUAAAUAUUUAACUUUAGUCAAAUUGACCAAAGUGCGAGGAUGGAACACUUCGGAAAGUCCGAAGGUGUUAAUAUGAUCAAAAGUGCAUUAUGGGAGGUUUUCGAGAGCUAAAGAAUCAAAAAUCUGCAAACUGUAGUUUUUGAGCUCUCGGGGACCGGUCCCUCUCUCGGGGACCGGUCCCUGGUAGGAGAGACCGGUCCCCGAACGCGUGAGAAAUGAGAAAGGCCGAAAAUCGGCUAAGUACCAGAAAAUCAGCUCUCGGGAACCGGUCCCUGCGGGGAAAGACCGGUCCCCGAGAGACUGGUCCCUCUAGGAGAGACCGGUUGCCCCACGCGAAAGCUCUGCUGAGCUGCGGGAGAGCUCUCUGGGAUCGGUCCCAAGUCGGGGAGACCGGUCCCCGAACACGAAAAGGGCCCAGUUUGGGCAGUUCAAUAAAGUGAAAGUUUAGGGGCUUACUUGCAUUUAUGCAACCCAACGGUUAUGUAGAGGGCUAUGAGGGCUUUUUCCUCUCAUUCUCUCCCUCUCACACACCCUCUCCUCUUUUUCUCUCUCUAGAAGACAAGAAGGAGAAGAAGAAGACAAGGAAAAGAAGAAGAAGAAAAGGAGAAAGAAGGUGAAGAAGAAGCUAAGAAGUGAAGCUACCUCCUCUUCUUCCUGUUUGGAGCAACAUAAGAGCAAGCUUAGAGGUAAGCUUGAACCCUAUUCAUGGUAGAACCCAAACUAGGGUUUGGGUUAAGCUAAAAAUAGUUUUUAUAGAGCCUUUAGAGUAUUUGGAGCUAUCUUUUGCUUUUUUUAGAGAUCAAACAAUAGAUUGGGUGGAGGUGGUGAAGCUUGAAGGUAAGCUUCAACCCCUCUCAUGGUGAAACCCUAAAAUGGGUUUGGAAUGAGCUAAGGAUGGUUUUAAUGGAGUCUCUAGAGUAGAUUAAGCUUUCUUUUGCUUAUCUUUGAGAUCAAAACCCUAGUUUUGAUGUGGGUUGAGCUAGGGCACCCAAAUUUGGGGCUUUUGCUUGCGAGGGUUUCAAAGUGAAAUCGACCCUCUAGAAACCUAAUUGGGGAUAUUUCCGACGCGUUGGUGCGCUUGGUUUAACGUUACAAAAAGCCUAUGCAAAGUUAUGAGCAAAAUGGCCUAAUAAGGCUUCGUUUUGCCACAGGUGAUGAACUAGGAGCCUAAAAAUUCCAAGAAAAUCAUUGUAGCAUCCUAAUACGCCUACAAGGUGGGUGGUGCUAUCCAAACUUGUUGGAAUUCCUUCUAUGCCUAAUGUGUCAUUCAAUUGAGCAUAUAUUUAUAUUGUUGCAUGUAUUAUAGGGUAGAUGUGAUGAUAUACAUGUGAAUGUUGCAUAAUGUGAGUACACAUGCUAUUUGAGAUGUUUGAGAGCCUAUUUAACCCUAUAUGUAUGCAUGAGAUGUAAUGUGAGCACCCAAUGAGAGGAAAGAACAAAGUGACACAAUAAAAUAUAGACCGAGUAGCAUUCGACAAUGUAAAGUAAAGUGACACUAGAGGUAGUGUGUGUGGCAUCAAAGAGAAAUGUGACACAAAGAACAAUGCUAAUGUUUAGAGACAAGUAAAGAAAACGAAAGUGGCAUAAAGAACGAGUAAAGUUAAAGAACGAUGAUUGCUAGAGUUAGCAAAAUAAAGUGAUGUAAAGAACACUAGAGUUAGUGUGAAGACAAUGAUUGAACUAUAUAUCCUUAGAGUUAAGGAUCGAUCAUACUUGCUAUGAGUUCUGUGCUCGAGGGCGGUCGCUCCCCCUCGGGCGAUGUGCUCCGGAGUUUUUGCAUCACGGGUUGGAGUAAACCCGAGGACGGUCUUAGUGGGAGGAAGCUGAGGGCCCACGAUGAUGGACUUACUGUGGGCAAGUUAAUAUGGCGAAACCCCUGGGUUAGCCGUGAGAUUAAAGAGCAAAGAACAAGUCUAAAGAACAAAGAGUAAAGAACAAAGAAUCUGCAUACUUGCAUGAGUUACAUUGAGCAUAUUUCUUGCUUUAUUGUUCAGGCAUAUUAGCAUCAUGAUUAUAGUUUGGUUACUAUUCUCUUAUCCUUUCUAUUAUGCCUGAGUUAGCCCUAGUGGGAAAGUCGGUGAGAUUGGGGCCGAACCCACUGGGAACGUUGUUGUAGUUCUCACCCCACUAUUCCACAGAGCCGAGACCGAGCGAGCCGGCGAGCGACCGCGGUAAAGGUAUCGCACCGCUGUUGAAGCAAAGAAGGAGAAGAAGGAAAGAGAAGAAGAAGAAGGAGGAGAAGAAGAAAAAGAAGGAGAGCUUGGAGGAGAUCAUCUCCAUCACCUUCUCCUCUCCCUCUUCAUCCCUUUGGAGCAGCUCAAGAGGUAAGCUCUUGAACCCUAAUGGUAGAACUUAGGGUUUUUGGGUUUUUGGCUUUUAAGAUGAGGUCAAAUGGACCUCUAGCACCAUUAAUGGUGGAAUAGAGCUAGGAGCUAGGGUUCUAUAGUACAAAUUGCAAGAUGUGAACCCUAGGGCACCCAAAUAGGGUUUUUGAUAAAUCAUGAGAUUGAUCUCAUUUGAUAGCUUGUAAACCUAAUUGUUAGGUGUCUAAACGCGGAGGCGAAGUCGGAUUUUCGAUUCAUCGAGCGGGUAAAACGCUAUCGGCAAAAUAUAGCCUAUUGAGCGCCGUUUUGGACCAAGGAGGCCGAGACAUCGUCGUAACGUUCGGCGAGAAGCAUUUCUAGAACCUUCAUACCCUCAAAAGGUGGGGGGGUGUCAUCCCGAAGCAACCGAACUCUUUUCUAUGUCUUAGAAUAACAUAUAAUCUCAUCUCUUGCAUGUUGCAUUGUAGGAUUGCAUUGUAGUACCUUUUCCUUAUGCUUCUAAAUGUUAAUCUAGUGUACAUGGAAUACUUGGUGAAAUAGAUAGGUAAGGAUUGGGUCGGAACAUGGAUCCUAUAGUGCUAAGGAAAAGAGAUGAACUCGAUGGUUAUUUAGUGACAUAGAGAGUGGCAUUACGUAGUGUCACGUCCCGCUAUCGCCAAUUUGGUCGAUCCGGGCCCGCGCACAGACGCCGAACGAACAGCACCACCUCUGUUCGCCCAAGGCUCAACAACAACGAGUACAUGUAUAAAGAAAUAAACAAUUCUCAGGAUCACAUUUCAAUAUACAUGGCUUGCACGAUGGCAAGCAAUAAACACAAGUGAUAGUAAAGCUAGCUAAACAUGAAAUUUCACUGUAAUUUAAAACUUUAAACUAACUUGCAUAACAGAAACAUCUAGUUAUUUACAUACACUUUACUACAUUCAUUUACAUGUCUCUGUACAUCGAAAUAGAUGAUACAUGAACUCAAACUGGUAACCACUACAACUCGGGUGUCCACUAGCUAGGCUGCUGGGCUCUUGCCACGAUCCACGGCCUCGAAACUCGCACUGGAACCUGUAUGGUUAGUGGUGUGAGAACUACAAGAAAGUUCCCAGUGGGUUCGGCUGCCGACCUCGCCGACUCACCCACUAGGUCUACUCAGGCAUAUGUAGGCAAGAAAAGUAAGCAGAUAGUAACCAACUAUAACAUGUAACUACUACAAUGCCUGUACAAAGCUGAAAGAAGUAACAGAUAUGAAGACUGUAAAUAUGCAUGCAUGCUUUUCAUUAACUUUACCCAAUCUUUUGGUUAACCCUCUGGUUAACAACUGGACAAGUACGUUAGUCCUGGGGCAAGUACGUUAGCUCAUAUAUUUACCCAAUUCACUGGUUAACCCUUUGGUUAACAAUAACUCACUAACGAAAUCCCUCACGGGCCCUAAGCUGCCUCCCGAUGGGACCGUCUGUCGGACAAGUACGUUAGUCCUGGGGCAAGUACGUUAGCCCAACAAGUGACUACUCCGGAGCUCACUGCCUGGGGGGAGCGACCACCACCAAGCUAAGAAAACAGACUAUGUGAGUAAGAUCUGAUCCCCCUUUAGAGGAUUCAACUGACAACAAUGUCACAAUUUAACUCUAACUAGUUCUUUAUACUAGUUUCAUAAUUGCAUUUCUCGAUGCUAACCAAAUCUCUAGUCAUGAUGUCACCAAGUUUACUAUUGUCUUGGUCCUUUACAGUUUCAUACAUUCAUAGGGUUCUAUGUCCACAUUCUAAUGUUCACAAAUUCUCAUUGUUGAUAGGAAUUCACAUUUUCACUCGCUCAAUGCCAAACACCCUAUAAUGCAUGACUACAAAUAUAAAUAUGCUCAACGAAGAAUUAUAGACAUAAAAGGUGAUUCAAAGAGUUCGGAUAGCACAACCCACCUUUCUUUGAUGCCGGAAUGGGAGAAAUGCGCUUCUAGCGCUUUCCCGAGAAUCGCGACCCGCGCUCGUGACUAUCGACGCCGAAAAUCUUCUUUUGGCGAUAUCUUCGCGUAGGAGCGACGGAUUGCCGAACCGACUUCGCCAGCGCGUUUCUUUUACCCCCAAUUUGGUUUGUACGCGGUCAAUUUCACGUCUGGGCUUCUAUCCUGCAAAAGUGCAUUAUCGGGGUCAGUUUCUAUAAAAACUCCUGCUCAAUGCAAGUUUCGCAAUUACAUAGCGUAAUUCAAUUCUUAUUAGCCCAAGAGCCUCAGAACAGUUAAUAAAAACUGUCCAAAUACUUCAAUUCCAUUUUUCUCUCUAUCAUUUCCCUUUCUUUCAUUUUUUUUCUUCUCAUCUUAUUCUUUUCUUUUCUUGCUUUGCUUUCUUUCUUUUCAUUCAUUCUUUCUUUCUUUUCUUUUCUUUUCUUUUCUUUCCUUUCUUUCUUUCUCUUCCCUGAGGUUUUCUUUUUCGUUCUCUUUUGCUUUUCUUUCUUUUCUUUCUUUCUUCCUUUCUUUCUUUCUUGCUGCCCCUGCAGGGCAGCAGCUGCUGCUGCCACUGCUGCUGCGCAUGCUGCUGCUGCUGCUGCUGCUGAGCUGCUGCUGCCACUGCUGCUGCGCAUGCUGCUGCUGCUGCUGAGCUGCUGCUGCUGCUGAGCUGCUGCUAAGCAGCAUAAGCUGCUGCUGCUGCAGCUACUGCACUGCUGCUGCUGCUGCUGCAGCUGCUGCACUGCUGCUGCUGCUACUCCAGCAGCUGCUGCUGCUGCGCAUGCUGCUGCUGCUGGUGCUAAACUGCUGCUGCUGCUGCUGCUGCUGCUGACAGCAGCGUGCUGCAGCUGCUGCUUUAGCUGCUGCUGCUGCUGCUGUGCUGCGCAUGCUGCUGUUGCUGCUGUGCAAGCUACUGCUGGCUGCUGCUGUUCCUGCUGCUGCUGCUGAAGCUGCUGCUGCUCAGCAGCUCCUACUGCUGCUGAGGCUACUGCUGUUCCUGCUGCUGCUGCUGAAGCUGCUGCUGCUGCUGAAGCUGCAGCUGCUGCUGAAGCUGCAGCUGCUCAGCAGCUCCUGCUGCUGCUGACGUUGUUGCUGUUCCUGCUGCUGCUGCUGCCUUGCUCACAGCAGCAGCAAGAAGCUGCUGCUGCUCCUGCUCACAGCAGCAGCAAGGGCUGCUGCUGCUGCUGACAACAGGGAGAGAGAGACAAAAGGGAGAGGUUCAAAUCUUACCUCUUUUCUUCUUCUUCUCUUCUUCUUCUUCUUCUCUUUUUCCUCUCUUUUUCUUCUCUUUCUCCUUCUUUUCUCCUUCUCUCUCUCUCUACGUAUGGAACCAGAGGGAUAAGGAUGGAGGGGGGCUUGCCUGGCAGUUUAAUGGAAAUCCACUAAGCCUAUGCUAAUUACCAUUUUGCCCCUCGACUUAUCCGUUUAGUCAUACGGCUUAGAUACCUUUCGCAGUCCCUUUCAAACGUCCGAUUGAGCUCAAAUUUGACAGGCAUGUUCGGUUUUACUUAACAAGUCCAAAGAAAUUUUAACAUUUCAGUUUCGACCCUGUUUGGUCACUGCGAACUGUCCCGAACCGUAAUCUUUAUCAGAUAACUUCCAGAUGCUAUUUCUCUCUCUACAGGUGUCAGAAAAAUUUAAAACUUCAAAUCUAGCCUCAUAAAAAUGUUCCUGACAUCUCUGCCAAUUUUCAUAAUUUUCUGACACUGUGCAUUUUCUGCUAAUUUUCUCAGUCCCGUUCUUUACAGAAAAUUCUAAAGUUUCCGUUUUCACUCCGAUUUCACCCAAACAUGUCCAAAAGAUACCAAGGGACCUUCACAAGCUACCAAUCCAAUUUGGAAGCAAUUCCUUUGCAUUUUGACAUUAUUGGAGCCGAAUUAGCAAUAGAAUCAGCUCCAAUUUCAUUAUACGGCAGAAAUUUCUCCUUUUUGCACUAUCACUUCGCACUGAACACUUCAAAACCCUUUGAAAGCACACCCUUGGCUUUUCCAAAACUUCACAAUUGAUUCGGAGAUACCACAAUUUAUCCUUACGCCUUACUUUAAUUCUUUUAAUCAAAGUUAGCGUCGGAAAUCCGAAAUUCUCUUUAUAUUUCGUUUCGCGCCCAAUUUGCGCCGAAACACUUAUUUAUCUCCAGAAUUCAUUCACACGCAUCACAAAUCACUCGGGGAUGAUGUCCAACUAGCUCAAACCUCACUUUGAUCCCCUAGAUCAAAGUUGACAUCGCAACUCCAAGUUUCCAUAUGUUACACGUAGUGUACUUGACACUAGAGGUUCAUGAACUUAGGGAUAGGUGGAUUCCCUAGAAAAUGACUCGUGAACAAUGAACUUGGUAUAGCUAAGUAAAUAUGCAUGAACGUCAGAAUAGAUGAGUUCCGAGAGAAUGUUGGCCUUAGUUCGUAGGGUAUCCUCACGUGGAGAGGAUAGAUCAAGCUCACGGUCUGUUAUUUGGGGUGGUAAAGCCAUUCAUAUUCUCACAUGGAGAGGAUUGGUCAUCGAGUACUCCGGAGUGUUGGGCGGUAGGACAGAGUUGUCCGCAGACAGUCCCGGGUUCGGGGGCACAUGGAGCCUCCUUACCCAAUGGGAUGGAUAUGUGAGUCGUAGGCAAACCCAAGGGUUUCGCCACAGAUUGGGUAAAUGAAAAGUUAAUAAUGACAUUGAACAUUGCUUAUCGAACAUGGAUUGAAUCUGUUAGCAUGAUAGUAACCUUCUACUAUAUGAUGCAUGCAUUCAUUACACAUGAUUAUGGGCAUAGUAGCAUAGCUUUCCUAUUAUGUCUUUACAGCUUUGAUAUAUAGAUCAUCUAUCUAUUUCGUUGUUACUUGUGCCCACUUGGACCUAGUGGGGAGAUCGGCAGAGUCGGCGGCCGAGCCCACUGGGAACUAUGGAAGAUAGUUCUCACCCCACUCUAUUUCGAGGGCUAGGUACAGGUUUGCCGGGCGAGGACCGCGGCAAGGGCAUCGCGCCCGACCAGUGAGAACUAUUGGUAGAGUAGUAGCUUUCGUUUUGCAUUAUGUAAGGACUGAGAUUUUGGCAGUGCGGCUAAACUCUUUGUUAAUAAUGUUUUUGUGUGUAAUUUAAAUACAUAAGCACUCGUCAAGUUUCAGGAGAAAACGGGUUAGAAUGGAGAAGUUACGCGAUCAUUAGUAUUCACUUAAGUGAAUACUAACUCUGGUUUUUCGGAGAAGCCACAGAGUAGAGUUAGCUUCUGGCGCGUAUCGGACUUCGUUCAUAGCAGUCCAAUAGCUCAUUUCGAACGAUUCAGCUAUUUUGGAACUAUUGGCGCUGACGGAUUUUGGGUUUGAUGCACGAAUUUCGAGAAAAUCUGAAAAUACAUGUUUUAUAUGUAUUUGUGUGUCACUUGUCUUUUGGAGAGAGAGAACAAAUUUCGCCCCGAAUUCGUGACCGAUCGAGGCGAAAUGAAAUGGUGAGUUUGUUGUCUCCGUUGUGCUGAUCGCACUAGCGUGAUCCGUUCGCAAAUCUGACGAACGGAUCUGCAGAUAUCGCGCAUUGAUUGAGGUGAGGUCGGUGUCACGCCCCGGGACCCAGUGGAAGCCCGCCCGGCACGUGCCCAGACCCGCCAUACGUCUAAAACGUAUAAGGCGUCUAAAAACAACAGUAAUAAAAGCAAUAAUAAAAGGCAACUAGGAGUAUCAGAGCAUAAUAAAGGUCUAAAUGCUACAACAAAGGAUAAGGAUAAAACUGUAAAUCCACUAAUAAAAGCAUAAAGUGAUACAAGAAAAUCCCAGAUACAAAUGCUAUNCCGAAAUACUUAUUUAUCUCCGAAAUUCAUUCCAACGCAUCACAAAUCACUCGAGGAUGAUGUCCAACUAGCUCAAUCCUCACUUUGACCCUCUAGGUCAAAGUUGACAUCGCAAUUCCAAGUUUCCAUAUGUUACAUGGCGGGUCUGGGCACGCGCCGGGCGGGCUUCCGCUGGGUCCCGGGGCGUGACAAUACAUGGAUACAAAAACCUCUCACUCUCUCAACUACAAAAAGAAAGAGUAGACCACCUAGGCAAAGUACCGCUCCUCGCUAGCUAGCUAAGCGAUCCCCUUGCCGCGAUCCCAUGCCUCCGCCGGUGCCGAAGGCUCUGAAAAGUAAACCACAAAACAGGGGCGUGAGAACUAUUAAAAAUAGUUCCCAGUGGGCAAUUACUGACUUCAGUGAAUGCACCACAAGGCCCAAAGCUACAAAAGAUGACAGUGACUAUAGAUGUAGAAAAGUGAAAGGUAAGUAACAAUAUAACUUACUACAACAUGAUAUCUCUACUUAGCAUAAAUAGCAUAAGUAUGAAAGCAAGUAUGCAUGAGGUAAAAGUCUCCAACUAUCAUGAUGUUCACAAUGCGAAAUAGUAAAGUUCCGUUGUUUACUAUUCUAGUCAAUGUCCAAGUAGUACACUAGGUUAUCAUCUGUCCACAUGUCAUAAUGAAUACUCAAAGUCAAAUCUGAAGAGACCCACCCGAAGGCUGUCUAUGGCCCUGAGACCCACCCGUAGGCUGUCUGGCCGGUGCCGAGCCUAAUGGCCCCGUGGUAGUCAUCAUCCCCACCCUAGGAAUGAGCCUGGCCCACGGCAAUCCACUUCGGCGCCCAAUCCCGCACGGCGAGUAUGAAUCGCGAUGUCUAUCUCCGGAGUGCCGGCUUGUAGGGAGCGACCCUCACAAGCAUGUGCGAAUGAGCACAAUGGCAAGUAGGUAAACGAUCUGUCGCAAGUACCAAGUCCUCAUGUCUAAUAACAUGGAAUGUGUCAAGUAUCUCAAUGGCCUAUCCCUAAGUCAUCAUGUCUCUAACAUGGAAUAUAGCGGAUAUGUAGUGGCCUAUCAAUAUAUCUCUAUGUUGCAGUUUCAUAGUUUACUAGUUUCAAGUGCCCCUUGAUGACACUCUUGUUCUCUAUGUCAAAGUAUGACAACUAUGUUCCAAGGUACGUAUUCCAAGUCAUAAUCCUCAUAAGUGAUGUAUCUUCCACUUGCAAAAUAAACACUUUUCCCAUAUGCAUGCAUUCUACUCAUAUAGCUCUACUAUAUAGUGAAAUUUUCAUAAUACACAAGGCAUGCAUUUUAAGUGCUCUAAAAUUCAUAUAAAUUCCAUUUAGCAUAGAAAUGAAUUUAAAAAUAUUUUACAACAAAUAGAAAUAGCAUAGGGGCCAUUUCGCCCCAUUUUCACGAAGCCAAACCCACCGUCGUCAACGAAAGCUUUCGUUUGCCACGACGAAGGCGUCCGCCACACUCCUAGUACCCUAAAGGUAUGAAAACAAGUGUCAUCUAGUCGAAACGAACGACGCUAAGUUCAAUCUUUAACCAUAUAGGGCUAGGGUUGAAGAAAAACUCACCGAUUACGAAGGAAGCUCUCUCGAUCUCCAAAUGGGAGCUAGAGUCCUUCCAAUCUAACCUAAACAAAGGUUCUAAACCCAUCAAUUUGGUUCCAAAGCCCUCAAAUCAAAAAAACCCCCAAAACUAACCCUAGAAUCCCAAUCUAGGGUUUCAUCUAGUAAAACCUAGAAAAACAUGUAUCAAGUAGGGAUUACAUGCUACCAACCUCAAGAGGGGCUUCAAUCCAAGCUCAAAACCAAGUAGGGUUGAAGUUUGAUCCUCCACAAAGCUCCAACCGCAAGCUCGAAGCCACCAAGGUGAGAAAAUGGGGAAAAGAUGAUACUCCAAAGUCUCCAAGCAAGCUCCCUCUCCUCUUCUUCUUCUUCUUCUUCUUCUUCUUCUCCCUCUCUUCUUCUCUCUCUAGAAUAGGUGGGAAGGGAAGAAAUGAGGAGUGAAGAGGGUGAAAUGACCAUAUAGACCAUCUAAAGAAACAAAAUCCACAUAGGCCCCUCAAAAACUCAAAAUUACAUCAGCCCGGUCUGGGCAGUUUUCGCCCAGAGGGACCGGUCUCCCCGACCUGGGACCGGUCUCUCAGCCUGCCCCCGAAAACCCAACGUUCGGGAACCGGUCUCUCCCUGUGCGGGACCGAUCUCUCCCCGCGCAGACGCGCUCGGGGACCGGUCUCGACUGCCAGGGACCGGUUGCCUCAAGUCCUGCCGCAGCACUGAGCUGAGGGGACCGGUCUCUCAUAUCAGGGACCGGUCCCCGAGAGUGAAAACUCUCAGGACCAAGUCAAAACUCUCGAGAUCGAACUUUUAGGCCGGAAUACCAUCUACGGCCUUCCACCAAGUGUGGAAAAGUUCGGAGUACACAUCAAACACUCGAACCUCGCAAUUUGCAAAAGUCUAGUGUGCUACAAUUAGACUACUCAGUUGCGCCCUAACAGUAUAACGUGGCAACGAGUACUUUUUCUUAUUCAACCGAACGAAAAAUAAACCUAAUAAUAUUGUUCUAUUAUGCCCCGAGUGUGUAAAUUUGCAACUUAUCGAUGUCAACGUUCACAUAAACCAUAACCAGACCUACAAUAGACUACUCAGUGGCGCCCUAACAGUAUAACUUUGCAACGAGUAAUUUUUUCUCAUUCAUUCGAGCAAAGAGUAAAACCUAAUUAUAUUGUACUAUUAUGCCCAGAGAGUGUAAAUUUGCAACGUAUCGAUGUCAAUGUUAGGAAGAACCAAAACCGGAAAAACAUUAGACUGCUCAUUGCUCCAUAAGAUUAUAACUUUGCAAUGAGUACUUUUUCUCAUUCAAACGAACAAAGAGUAAAACCUAAUUAUAUUGUUCUAUUAUGCCUCGAGAGUGUAAAUUUGCAACGCAUCGAUGUCAACGUUCACAAAAACCAAAAUCAGACCAACAUUAGACUACUCUGUUGCGCACUAACAGUAUAACUUUUCAACGAGUACUUUUUCAUCUUCAACCGAACAAUGAGUAAAACCCAAUUAUAUUGGUCUAUUAUGCCCCGAGAGUGUAAAUUUGCAACUUAUAGACGUCAACGUUCACAAGAACAAAAACCGGACCAAUAUUAGACUACUCAGUUGCGCCCUAACAGCAUAACUUGGCAACGGGAACUUUUUCUAAUUCAACCGAACAAAGAGUAAAACCCAAUUAUAUUAUUUUAUUAUGCCCCGAGUGUGUAAAUUUGCAACGUAUCGAUGUCAACGUUCACAUAAAUCAAAACCAGACCAACAGUAGUGUAAGGUACCGGGCUUCUAAAACUAGGAAGUUAUGGUGUACAAUGAUUUGGGGAGCCAUUUGAAUGGUCCCGGUGGAGAAUGUAACAUACCAGAUUUUGGUAUAAAAAUAAUAAAUAAAUAAAAAUAGUGUGGGAUACUAUUUUUAUUGGAUUUAGAAAAAUAAAACAUAAGUCUAGAAUUGACUUGUGCUGAAAUCGGAAUGAAAACAGAAGAUCUAGAAUUUUCUGUCGAAGACGGGGCAGAUAAAUUAGCAGAAAAUGCACAGUCUCAGAAAAUUAUGAAAAUUGGCAGAGAUGUCAGAAAUAUUUUUAUGAGACUAGCUAUGAAGUUUCAUAUUUUUCUGACACCAGAAAAGUGUGAAUCAGAUAUCCGAAAGUAUCUGAUAAAGAUCACAGUUCGGUACAGUUUUCAGUGACCAAACGGGGACGAAACUGAAAUAUUAAAAUUUCGUUGGACUCGUUAUGUGAAACCGAGCCAGCCUGUCAAGUUUGAGCUCAAACGGACAUUCAGGGAGCUCCGGCGAAAGAUAUCAGAUUUUAAACUGCCCGGAGAUGAAUAGUGAUUUGAGGAUGUUGACUUUAAUUAGAAGCUAAUUAGCUUCUUCUUCUUCUUUCUCCCACAGCCGCAGCAGCCUGCAAGCAUCACGCACGCAUGGGAGGGGGAGAGAAACCCUUCUCUCUCUCUCUAAAGAUCUCUCUCAUCUCUCUAUAUCUCUCGCUCAAAUUCGCGGGGUUGGUGGAGAAGAUGCUUGCGAACGCGUUGGAGGCAACAGAUCGAGCUUUCGUGCGGCCGUUGGAGCGAUGUGUUUUCGUCGCGGCGUUCACAUUGGGGUAAGCUUUUGGGAUUUUGUUUAAAUCCUUCAUGAAUGAUGUUCUAAUAGUAUCUAGAGUGCUCUAAACAUGUUCUCUCCAUUUAAUUUGGAUUAUUGGAGGUUAAUUGCAUAUUAGGGUUCAAAAAUGGGAUUUUGCAAAAUGGUAGUGUUUGAUCUCAUUUGACCCUUCGUAAACCUAAUUGUUAGGUAACGAAACGCGUUGGCGAAGACGGUUCGGCGAUCCGUCGAGCCGUUACAAAGAUAUUAAAGAAAUGGACGUUUAGGUUUCGUUUCCGCCUGGAGGGCCGAGGCGACGUCGUAAAAUCAUGGAAAUGGAUUUGAGGUAUCGUGGCACAUAACCGAAGACCUAUAAUUUUCGGGGCUGCAAAGCGGAGCACGGUUGAGGCGCCGCUGCGAUAUCGGGCCGUGCCGGGUACGGAUGCCGCGGGAGGCCGAUCGCAAGUGUCGACAAGCAAUCAGAAUGCAAUAGCAGGUGGGUUGUGUUUACCGAAGCGACUUGGUCGCCUCGCAUGUCAAAGCGGAAUGUGGAAUCUUAUUGAUGCAUAAAUGGAUGUGCAUAUGAACAUGUUAGUAUUAUAGAUUUAUGUUGACAUGUAGGAGAGCAUGCUAAAGAACAUGAACAUAUUAAUGAAUGUCAAGCAUACGAGAAACUGUUAAAUGUAUGAACAUGUUAGCACUAUAGAUUCAUGAUGACAUGUAUGAGAGCAUGCUAGAGAACAUGAGAUCAUGUUAGAUAAUGGUUAAUGGCAUAAUGAGAAAUGUGUAUGCAAGUUAAUAUUAUGUGAAUGCAUGCUAGUUGGUAAUUGCAUAUUAAAUUGUAUGCUUAGAGAAUGCAUGUUAGAGGGCAUGGCAUAUUAAUAUUAUGAAAAGAUGCAUGCAAAAGUACAUAUGAUUAUAGAACCUCGAUAUGGACAAUUAGGUAUCCAAUAGAUCGAGUGGCAUGAACCUAGUGU